CUAUAUAAGCAGAUUUGAAAAUGGAUGAAUUGAUGGAAAAUUCAGCCACUAAAUUCAUCACUUUUUGUGGAUCUCAGGGGGCGGCCACCUUGACACUUGUUGACUGAAAAUGACAUUACUGUUGCUCAAGUAAUGACCAAUCACGGCUCAGCUCGUCAAUGUCACAUGAACAAACUCAGAAAACAGACGACCUGUGAUUGUUCGUUAUCUGAGCUCUGAGUAACUGUGAUGUCAUUUUUAGUAGACUAUGGCAAAAUGGCCACCUCGAGAUGGAUAAAAGCGGGUGGAUUUUCCUGCCUAAUUCAUAUUCCACAAACGCAAUAAUCAGCUGCAUAGAACACAUUGUUAAAAAACAAAAGGAAGAGGAAGAAGUAGUGUUUUCUUCCCCUUUAAUUAAGCGCCUUUCCUCUUGCACAAACCGGAGGCUGGAGUAAGGCUAGUGCGCCACAUUGAGUCAUUUCAGCAGCUUCAACUGACUUGUGAUGAUUUUCCAUCAACACUACAGGGGGACCACUAGUACCACACAGUUCCAAACCAGAUGUAUGACAAAAAUGGCCUACAAAAUAAGGACCAAUGUACAUCACAGUAUUAAUUUAUUUCAUUUUUCAGGAUCAUUUAAAAUAAUUUGGCCCACUCGCGGGUGGCCCGUUAGUCGACACUCGACUGCCUCCAGGGGCCUUUGUUUCAAGGGGCCAAUCAGUGUGAACAAAGCAACCAGUAAACUUCAUUAGUACAAAUUCUUGCUCUGCUAUUAAGUAGAAAUAUUUGAUCUGUUAUCAACUAUGAGCUGGCAGGCGGGACCACUUGGGAUUCACACUGUGUAAGUGAUCGAACAGCGUCCACAGAUGCAAAUUCCCCACCAAGAUCAAUAAUAUUUUAGGAUUUAUUUUUGCCUUAAGCAUGACUGUACUGACUGAAAGAAGAGAAGGGGCACUUGUGCGUCAAACUUUUAAACCUUGCCAGCUGUUGCAACAGCUGCUUGUCUGCAAAGUGUAUGACACAUGUACGUGUUUGUGCUCGUGUGGCUUCUUUUCUCCAGUAAUUAUAUCCCUUAAAGUGGC